rnacentral:rRNA from 1 species
GCUAUUCAGAUGGCGACCGGCGCACGGGUGAGUAACGCGUAUCCAACCUCCUGCCAGUAGGGAACAGCCCGGCGAAAGUCGGAUUAAUGCCCUAUGUUCUUCAAUGCGGACAUCUAAGUUGAAGGAAAGAUUCAUCGCUGGCAGAGUGGGGAUGCGUCCGAUUAGCUUGCCGGCGGGGUAACGGCCCGACCGGGGCGACGAUCGGUAGGGGUUCUGAGAGGAAGGUCCCCCACACUGGUACUGAGACACGGACCAGACUCCUACGGGAGGCAGCAGUGAGGAAUAUUGGUCAAUGGGCGUAAGCCUGAACCAGCCAAGUAGCGUGCCAGGAUGACGGCCCUACGGGUUGUAAACUGCUUUUAUGCGGGGAUAAAGUGCGGCACGUGUGCCGCUUUGCAGGUACCGCAUGAAUAAGGACCGGCUAAUUCCGUGCCAGCCGCGGC